CGCCCAUGCUGAGCCGGUGAUACUAACCGCCCGAACCAUCCCGAACCUCGUCUUUGACGGGGUCGGUGAUGGGGAGCGCGGGACCUGAACCGGGGAGGCAAGCGCAUUAACA
rnacentral:rRNA from 1 species